AGAGUUUGAUCCUGGCUCAGGACGAACGCUGGCGGCGCGCCUAACACAUGCAAGUCGAACGAGCGAGAGAGAGCUUGCUUUCUCGAGCGAGUGGCGAACGGGUGAGUAACGCGUGAGGAACCUGCCUCAAAGAGGGGGACAACAGUUGGAAACGACUGCUAAUACCGCAUAAGCCCACGGUGCCGCAUGGCACAGAGGGAAAAGGAGCAAUCCGCUUUGAGAUGGCCUCGCGUCCGAUUAGCUAGUUGGUGAGGUAAUGGCCCACCAAGGCGACGAUCGGUAGCCGGACUGAGAGGUUGAACGGCCACAUUGGGACUGAGACACGGCCCAGACUCCUACGGGAGGCAGCAGUGGGGAAUAUUGCACAAUGGGGGAAACCCUGAUGCAGCGACGCCGCGUGGAGGAAGAAGGUCUUCGGAUUGUAAACUCCUGUUGUUGGGGAAGAUAAUGACGGUACCCAACAAGGAAGUGACGGCUAACUACGUGCCAGCAGCCGCGGUAAAACGUAGGUCACAAGCGUUGUCCGGAAUUACUGGGUGUAAAGGGAGCGCAGGCGGGAAGACAAGUUGGAAGUGAAAUCUAUGGGCUCAACCCAUAAACUGCUUUCAAAACUGUUUUUCUUGAGUAGUGCAGAGGUAGGCGGAAUUCCCGGUGUAGCGGUGGAAUGCGUAGAUAUCGGGAGGAACACCAGUGGCGAAGGCGGGCCUACUGGGCACCAACUGACGCUGAGGCUCGAAAGUGUGGGUAGCAAACAGGAUUAGAUACCCUAGUCCACACCGUACGAUGAUUACUGUUGGAGGAUUGACCCCUUCAGUGCCAUAACAACAAUAAGUAAUCCACCUGGGGAGUACGACCGCAAGGUUGAAACUCAAAGGAAUUGACGGGGGCCCGCACAAGCAGUGGAGUAUGUGGUUUAAUUCGACGCAACGCGAAGAACCUUACCAAGUCUUGACAUCCCUUGACAGACAUAGAAAUAUGUAAUCUCUUCGGAGCAAGGAGACAGGUGGUGCAUGGUUGUCGUCAGCUCGUGUCGUGAGAUGUUGGGUUAAGUCCCGCAACGAGCGCAACCCUUAUGGUCAGUUACUACGCAAGAGGACUCUGGCCAGACUGCCGUUGACAAAACGGAGGAAGGUGGGGAUGACGUCAAAUCAUCAUGCCCUUUAUGACUUGGGCUACACACGUACUACAAUGGCGUUAAACAAAGAGAAGCAAGACCGCGAGGUGGAGCAAAACUCAGAAACAACGUCCCAGUUCGGACUGCAGGCUGCAACUCGCCUGCACGAAGUCGGAAUUGCUAGUAAUCGUGGAUCAGCAUGCCACGGUGAAUACGUUCCCGGGCCUUGCACACACCGCCCGUC
rnacentral:rRNA from 1 species